CCUACGGGUGGCAGCAGUGGGUGAUAUUGCACAAUGGGGGGAACCCUGAUGCAGCGACGCCGCGUGGGUGAAGGAGUGCUUCGGCAUGUAAAGCCCUAUCGGCAGGGAAGAAGCAAGACGGUACCUGACUAAGACGCCCCGGCUAACUACGUGACAGCCGCCGCGGUAAUACGUAGGGGGCGCACGUUAUCCGGAUUCCCUGGGUGUAAAGGGAGAGUCGACGGGCAUGCAAGCCAGGGGUGAAAGCCCGGGGCCGAACCCCGGGACUGCCCGUGGAACUGCAUGGCUGGCGUGCGGUAGGGGCAGGCGGAAUUCCUGGUGUAGCGGUGAAAUGCGUAGAUAUCAGGAGGAACACCGGCGGCGAAGGCGGCCUGCUGGACCGCGACUGACGUUGAGGCUCGAAAGCGUGGGGAGCGAACAGGAUUAGAUACCCUUGUAGUC
rnacentral:rRNA from 1 species